rnacentral:rRNA from 1 species
UACGUAGGUGGCAAGCGUUGUCCGGAUUUACUGGGCGUAAAGAGCGCGCAGGCGGUCGUUCAAGUCGCGUGUGAAAGCCCCCGGCUCAACUGGGGAGGGUCACGCGAUACUGUUCGACUCGAAGGCAGGAGAGGGAAGCGGAAUUCCCGGUGUAGUGGUGAAAUGCGUAGAUAUCGGGAGGAACACCAGUGGCGAAGGCGGCUUCCUGGCCUGUUCUUGACGCUGAGGCGCGAAAGCUAGGGGGAGCAAACGGG